rnacentral:rRNA from 1 species
CAUCCUUCGGGAGUAAGGCCCCUUGUAGACUACAAGGUUGAUAGGUCAGGAGUGGAAGUGCAGUAAUGUAUGGAGCGGACUGAUACUAAUAGGCCGAGGGCUUGACCUC